AACGCACAUUGCGCCCCUCGGUAUUCCGUGGGGCAUGCCUGUUCGAGCGUCAUCUACACCCUCAAGCUCUGCUUGGUGUUGGGCGUCUGUCCCGCCUCCGCGCGUGGACUCGCCCCAAAUUCAUUGGCAGCGGUCCUUGCCUCCUCUCGCGCAGCACAUUGCGCUUCUUGAGGGGCUCCGGUUCGCGUCCAACAAGCACAUUUACCGUCUUUGACCUCGGAUCAGGUAGGGAUACCCGCUGAACUUAA
rnacentral:misc_RNA from 4 species